ensembl:misc_RNA
CUUACCAUGUGCUAUGUAUCCACUGGACUCCGAGCGAGACUGAUGGGUUAAUACACAGGGGGGUGGGGAGGACAUAAGGGACCCGGACCUCAGUGAGGCCCCAGAAAGCUCACAGGAGGGGCCUCCGAUCCUGCCUGGGGAGGGAGGGGUUAGGGAAGGAUUCCUGGAAGAAGGAGGACCUAAGCUGAGUGCUUCUAUUUUUAAUUUUUAUUGGUUUCCUAAAACAUAAAAGU